rnacentral:rRNA from 1 species
AGUCUGAUGUGAAAGCCCACGGCUCAACCGUGGAGGGUCAUUGGAAACUGGGGAACUUGAAGACAGAAGAGGAGAGCGGAAUUCCACGUGUAGCGGUGAAAUGCGUAGAGAUGUGGAGGAACACCAGUGGCGAAGGCGGCUCUCUGGUCUGUGCUUGACGCUGAGGCGCGAAAGCGUGGGGAGCGAACAGGAUUAGAUACCCUGGUAGUCCACGCCGUAAACGAUGAGUGCUAGGUGUUAGGGGUUUCCACCCUUAGUGCUGCAGUUAACGCAAUAAGCACUCCGCCUGGGGAGUACGGCCGCAAGGCUGAAACUCAAAGGAAUUGACGGGGGCCCGCACAAGCGGUGGAGCAUGUGGUUUAAUUCGAAGCAACGCGAAGAACCUUACCAGGUCUUGACAUCCUCGGACCACCCUAGAGAUAGGGUCUUCCCUUCGGGGACCGAGUGACAGGUGGUGCAUGGUUGUCGUCAGCUCGUGUCGUGAGAUGUUGGGUUAAGUCCCGCAACGAGCGCAACCCUUGACCUUAGUUGCCAGCAUUUAGUUGGGCACUCUAAGGUGACUGCCGGUGACAAACCGGAGGAAGGUGGGGAUGACGUCAAAUCAUCAUGCCCCUUAUGACCUGGGCAACACACGUGCUACAAUGGAUGGUACAAAGGGCAGCAAAACCGCGAGGUCGAGCAAAUCCCAUAAAGCCAUUCUCAGUUCGGAUUGUAGGCUGCAACUCGCCUGCAUGAAGCCGGAAUCGCUAGUAAUCGUGGAUCAGCAUGCCACGGUGAAUACGUUCCCGGCCCUUGUACACACCGCCCGUCACACCACGAGAGUUGGUAACACCCGAAG